rnacentral:rRNA from 1 species
UACGUAGGGGGCAAGCGUUGUCCGGAUUUACUGGGUGUAAAGGGCGCGUAGGCGGCUAUAAAAGUCAGUGGUGAAAUCCUGCGGCUUAACUGCAGAACUGCCAUUGAUACUGUAUAGCUUGAGUGCGGAAGAGAGAGACGGAAUUCCAGGUGUAGUGGUGAAAUACGUAGAUAUCUGGAAGAACACCAGUUGCGAAGGCGGUCUCUUGGUCCGUUACUGACGCUGAGGCGCGAAAGCGUGGGUAGCAAACAGG